rnacentral:rRNA from 1 species
GACGAACCGUGCAAACGUUGUUCGGAUUCACUGGGCUUAAAGGGCGCGUAGGCGGGCCAUCAAGUCAGGGGUGAAAUCUUUCGGCUCAACCGGAAAAGUGCCUUUGAUACUGGUGGUCUCGAGGGAGGUAGGGGCAUGCGGAACUUCCGGUGGAGCGGUGAAAUGCGUAGAUAUCGGAAGGAACGCCGGUGGCGAAAGCGGCGUGCUGGACCUUCACUGACGCUGAGGCGCGAAAGCCAGGGGAGCAAACGGG